CCAGUAAUAGAAGGAAACAUUUUAUUUCAGUGCACAAAAAAAAAACAUUAGACAUUAACUUUUUUAAUUUAACUUGAUGUUCAUGUUAUAUGAUUUAAUAAUUUUUGUGGACAGCAAGCAAAACAAACCAUAUUUGCGUCAUUCAAAUUAUUUGAGUACAAUACAUCCGAUAUGAUGCAAGUAUGAGUGGAUAAUUGUUAGUCAUAAACCUUCACUUCCUGCUAGGUGUAAUAGGACUGGACCUGUUUGAGCAGAGUGUACAAGUGAGGAAUUGAGUGACAUGGACAGACCUAAAGUGCUGCUGCAUCUGUCUAAUUAGGGAGAGAUGAUCUGAGGACCCCAGUUGGUGUUACUAGAAUCAGGCUCGUCCCCCUUCUAGCCAAUAAGGCGUAAACUGUGUGAAAAAAGACACCACGUGACAGCCAGGUGGGGCAAGAGUGGGAUCCAGGACAGAUGGUAUAGUCAUCUCGAUCAUAGGUCUGAGAUAAUGCAAGAUAAUACAGCACAUGCAUUUUGAGGGCCCCAAGAACGGAAGCGGAUGCACAUACCAUUAAUUUUGGUCACAGGAGAGCAAAACCAGCAGUAUUUUUAAUAAAAACGUUACCUGUGGAGUAAGAUGUUUGAAAGUUACAUAGGGGGUAGCAUUGGACAAAACCACUUUACUGUGAACUUCAGUACCAUCUUUCAGCACAACUCCAUUGGCAAUAUGAUCUGGUCCAAUCAGCACUUGACGUACCUCCUAAAAUUCAAAGUAAAGAUAUCUGCACCAAGGGAACGUGCAGAGUUAGCAAUGGACUUGGAGACACCACCCAUGCCCCCUUCCACAUAACCCCAGGCCCCCAUCUCCUUUUCCAGCUCACCCAUAAUGUGGUGCAAAAGGACAUACCUGCAAU